rnacentral:rRNA from 1 species
UACGAACCGUGCGAACGUUAUUCGGAAUCGCUGGGCUUAAAGCGCGUGUAGGCGGCUUGGCAAGUCAGUUGUGAAAGCCCGGGGCCCAACCCCGGAAUUGCAUCUGAAACUGCCUGGCUAGAGUCCCGGAGAGGAAGGCAGAAUUCCCGGUGUAGGGGUGAAAUCCGUAGAUAUCGGGAGGAAUACCAGCGGCGAAGGCGGCCUUCUGGACGGUGACUGACGCUGAGACGCGAAAGCGUGGGGAGCAAACAGG